rnacentral:rRNA from 1 species
UACGGAGGGUGCGAGCGUUGUCCGGAAUCAUUGGGCGUAAAGGGCGCGUAGGUGGCCCGGUCAGUUCGUGGUGAAAGCGCGGGCUCAACCCUGCGUCGGCCAUGAAUACUGCCGCGGCUGGAGCACUGUAGAGGCAGGCGGAAUUCCGGGUGUAGCGGUGGAAUGCGUAGAGUAUCCGGAGGAACACCGGUGGCGAAGGCGGCUCCUGGACCGGACACUGACGCUGAGGCGCGAAAGCUAGGGGAGCAAACGGG